GGUUAAUCAUUCCUGCCCUCAGAAUUUGACUCACCUUUUAUAUAUGACCCCUCGUGGGUUAUGCGAUCGGCAGAAGUCUUUUGUUGGCUGCGGGAACGAUUCGCAGNCCGUCCAGCACACNCCGGACAGUCUACCAAAGUACGAGUAGUGCUUACAGACAUCGGUCGCCGCCGAAACGCGGUUACCGUYCAANCCACACCCGAGUAUGCAUCUCGUAUGNUGCUCGUUCCCUNUGUCUUGUCUGUUCCCCGYCAUYNGUUGCGCAAAAAANCCCUUCAAACGGUUUUUUCGUCACUNAGUGAUAAGCAUGAU
rnacentral:misc_RNA from 1 species